rnacentral:rRNA from 1 species
GAUGAACGCUGGCGGCGUGCCUAAUACAUGCAAGUCGAGCGAAUGGAUUAAGAGCUUGCUCUUAUGAAGUUAGCGGCGGACGGGUGAGUAACACGUGGGUAACCUGCCCAUAAGACUGGGAUAACUCCGGGAAACCGGGGCUAAUACCGGAUAACAUUUUGAACCGCAUGGUUCGAAAUUGAAAGGCGGCUUCGGCUGUCACUUAUGGAUGGACCCGCGCCGCAUUAGCUAGUUGGUGAGGUAACGGCUCACCAAGGCAACGAUGCGUAGCCGACCUGAGAGGGUGAUCGGCCACACUGGGACUGAGACACGGCCCACUCCUACGGGAGGCAGCAGUAGGGAAUCUUCCGCAAUGGACGAAAGUCUGACGGAGCAACGCCGCGUGAGUGAUGAAGGCUUUCGGGUCGUAAAACUCUGUUGUUAGGGAAGAACAAGUGCUAGUUGAAUAAGCUGGCACCUUGACGGUACCUAACCAGAAAGCCACGGCUAACUACGUGCCAGCCGCCGCGGUAA